GUGCUUUUGCUUCAGCUGUACAUGUACUAAAAUUGGAAGGAUGUGGAGAAGAUUAGCAUGGCCCCUGCACAAGGAUGACACGAAAAUUUAUGGUGUUCCUUAUUUUUUU
ensembl:snRNA U6 U6 spliceosomal RNA